rnacentral:rRNA from 1 species
CGGCGUGCCUAACACAUGCAAGUCGACGGAGUUACGAUGAACUAGUGAUUCGUAACGUUAGUUGGCGGACGGGUGGAGUAACGACGUGGAGUAACCUGCCUUACACUGGGGGAGUAACACUUAGAAAUAGGUGCUAAUACCGCAUAAGCGCACAGAGCCGCAUGGCUCAGUGUGAAAAACUCCGGUGGUGUAAGAUGGAUCCGCGUCUGAUUAGCUGGUUGGCGGGGUAGAAGCCCACCAAGGCGACGAUCAGUAGCCGGCCUGGAGAGGGUGAACGGCCACAUUGGGACUGAGACACGGCCCAAACUCCUACGGGAGGCAGCAGUGGGGAAUAUUGCACAAUGGGGGAAACCCUGAUGCAGCAACGCCGCGUGAGUGAAGAAGUCAUUCGUGAUGUAAAGCUCCAUCAGCAGGGAAGAAAAUGACGGUACCUGAGUAAGAAGCCCCGGCUAACUACGUG